AGCGAACGCUGGCGGCGUACUUAACACAUGCAAGUCGAACGAGGAUCAUCGGGUUAGCAAUAAUUCGGUGGUCCUAGUGGCGCACGGGUGAGUAACACGUGGGUGACCUGCCCUUGAGCUCGGGAUACCCCCCUCGAAAGGGGGGCUAAUACCGGAUACGUUCCUCGGUCGAAAGACUGAGGAGGAAAGGUGGCGCAAGCUGCCGCUCUUGGAGGGGCUCGCGGCCUAUCAGCUAGUUGGCGGGGUAACGGCCCACCAAGGCUAUGACGGGUAGCUGGUCUGAGAGGACGACCAGCCACACGGGGGCUGAGACACGGCCCCGACUCCUACGGGAGGCAGCAGUGGGGAAUCUUGCGCAAUGGGCGAAAGCCUG
rnacentral:rRNA from 1 species